CCCUUAGAUGUUCGGGGCCGCACGCGCGCUACACUGAAGGAAUCAGCACGUCUUUCUCCUUGUCCGAAAGGACUGGGUAACCCGCUGAACCUCCUUCGUGCUAGGGAUUGGGGCUUGUAAUUCUUCCCCAUGAACGAGGAAUUCCCAGUAAGCGCGAGUCAUAAGCUCGCGUUGAUUACGUCCCUGCCCUUUGUACACACCGCCCGUCGCUACUACCGAUUGGAUGGUUUAGUGAGAUCCUCGGAUUGGUCCCGGAGCGGCUUCUGGUCGUGCCGGAGUGCCGAAAAGAAUGUCGAACUUGAUCAUCUAGAGGAAGUAAAAGUCGUAACA
rnacentral:rRNA from 1 species